UCCUCCGUGGCGCAAUUGGCUAGCGCGUUCGACUGUUAUAACAGCAGUUAAUCGAGAGGUUGACAGUUCAAGCCUGUCCGGGGGAG